UACGAAGGGGGCUAGCGUUGCUCGGAAUCACUGGGCGUAAAGGGUGCGUAGGCGGGUCUUUUAAGUCAGGGGUGAAAUCCUGGAGCUCAACUCCAGAACUGCCUUUGAUACUGAGAGCUUGAGUCCGGGAGAGGUGAGUGGAACUGCGAGUGUAGAGGUGAAAUUCGUAGAUAUUCGCAAGAACACCAGUGGCGAAGGCGGCUCACUGGCCCGGUACUGACGCUGAGGUGCGAAAGCGUGGGGAGCAAACAGG
rnacentral:rRNA from 1 species